GGGAAGUUUCACAAUUCAAAAAUCAAAAUUUUUUUAAUAUUAAUUAUUUAAAUAAACUAAUGAAAUUAGGAAAAUAUCAAAACCCUAUCCACUACCCAAACCUGUAAAUCUCCUCCCUGUCCCUCCCUUCUCCUCGUCUCUUCGGUGCCACCGAAUAGCCACUGCGAGUGGCAAACCAUAAACAUUUGUCGGAGACCACCAACACGCCACCUUUGGCGAGAUGGCAUACCCUGAUUUACCACAAAUUCAUCACCUAGAUAGUGACAUUUGCAAACAGAUUCAAUCAAUCUGGACAAUAAUUUUGCAUCGCGCCAUCACUGGGUCAGCUUCGCCAUGAAGUUAGCUGUGGGCAAUUAAUUUUUGUAUAGCAUCAAGGGCAGGCUCAAUAGCUUUCAAGUAAUUGGACAAGGUAAGGAUGGUUUUGGUUUUGUUUGUUGGAGUGGUAGUGGCGGAGUUGUGGCAGUGGCAACGAUAGGGUGGAGACGACGGUGAUAGUAAGGUGGUGUGAUGAUGGCAGUUGUGGGAGGCUAGUAGUUUUGGAUUCGAUUUGUUGGUGGUGGUUGUGUGUUGGCUCCGAUGGUGAUCGUGGCAGGGUUGUCACUUCCAUUGCGGCUCUGAUUUUGGAUCUAUUUUGUGGUGCUGUCACAUUGGUGGUGAAGUGGUAAUUUUUGGUGGUCACAAUCUAGGUGGCGUAGGUGGCGGUGGAUGACGGGAGAUCUAGGAAAUUUGGAUCCGAUCUGUGGUCGUGAUGAUAGCGGUUACUGUAAUAAUUUAUUUAUUUUUUUUUAUUUUUUUUUUUUUGUGGAUUUGACGUCGACAAUGUGAUGGUAUUUUCCGCAGUAAGUUGAUUUGUUUGAGGUGGUGGUGGUUCUAUCGACCACAAUGGCGGAAGUAGCGGUGAAAUGGUGGUCACAAGUGUUAUUAUUGCUCACAAAUUAUUUGGUUGACUAUAAUUAUUAAAUUGGUUAAUCUGUGACCAAUAAAUAAUAUGUUACAAAUAAAAAAUAUAAAAUUUGACCGAGAAAUAAUGUGUGAUCUAAAAAAAAUUUAAU
rnacentral:lncRNA from 1 species